GGGGGUAACGAGGGGUCAAUCACGGUCACUCAGGUCCGGCUUUCUGGCCAGCUCAGCACCCCAUCGGGCCGUGAUCGAUGCAGUUCCCAAGCUGACAGCGCGGGUUCGAUUCCCGUCACCCGCUCCA
rnacentral:tRNA from 1 species